GUGGGGAAUCUUGCGCAAUGGGCGAAAGCCUGACGCAGCCAUGCCGCGUGAAUGAUGAAGGUCUUAGGAUUGUAAAAUUCUUUCACCGGGGACGAUAAUGACGGUACCCGGAGAAGAAGCUCCGGCUAACUUCGUGCCAGCAGCCGCGGUAAUACGAAGGGGGCUAGCGUUGCUCGGAAUUACUGGGCGUAAAGGGCGUGUAGGCGGACAGCUUAGUCAGAGGUGAAAGCCCAGGGCUCAACCUUGUAAUUGCCUUUUAUACUGGCUGUCUUGAGUUUGGGAGAAGUGAGUGGAACUCCGAGUGUAGAGGUGAAAUUCGUAGAUAUUCGGAAGAACACCAGUGGCGAAGGCGACUCACUGGCCCAAUACUGACGCUGAGGCGCGAAAGCGUGGGGAGCAAACAGGAUUAGAAACCCUUGUAGUCC
rnacentral:rRNA from 1 species